CAAAAAGCGGAGGAAAAGAAACCAACAGGGAUUGCCUUAGUAGCGGCGAGUGAAGCGGCAAAAGCUCAAAUUUGAAAUCUGGCUCUUUCAGAGUCCGAGUUGUAAUUUGAAGAAGGUAUCUUUGGGCCUGGCUCUUGUCUAUGUUUCUUGGAACAGAACGUCACAGAGGGUGAGAAUCCCGUGCGAUGAGAUGACCCAGGUCCGUGUAAAGUUCCUUCGACGAGUCGAGUUGUUUGGGAAUGCAGCUCUAAGUGGGUGGUAAAUUCCAUCUAAAGCUAAAUAUUGGCGAGAGACCGAUAGCGAACAAGUACAGUGAUGGAAAGAUGAAAAGAACUUUGAAAAGAGAGUGAAAAAGUACGUGAAAUUGUUGAAAGGGAAGGGCUUGAGAUCAGACUUGGCAUUUUGCAUGUUGCUUCUUCGGGGGCGGCCUCUGCGGUUUGUCGGGCCAGCAUCAGUUUGGGCGGCAGGACAAUCGCGUGGGAAUGUGGCACGGCCUCGGCUGUGUGUUAUAGCCCGCGUGGAUACUGCCAGCCUAGACUGAGGACUGCGGUUUAUACCUAGGAUGUGCAUAC
rnacentral:rRNA from 1 species